rnacentral:pre_miRNA from 1 species
ACAGGAAGCCUGUCGAACCGACGGUGUUCGACUGGCUCCUGUCGAACUGCCCCUGUUCGACAGGGCGGCAGUCGAACGACCCCUGUUCGACAGGUCC